rnacentral:rRNA from 1 species
CACGUAGGGGGCGAGCGUUGUCCGGAUUUAUUGGGCGUAAAGAGCUCGUAGGCGGUCUGUCGCGUCUGCUGUGAAAACUCAGGGCUUAACCCUGAGCUUGCAGUGGGUACGGGCAGACUAGAGUGCGGUAGGGGAGACUGGAAUUCCUGGUGUAGCGGUGAAAUGCGCAGAUAUCAGGAGGAACACCGGUGGCGAAGGCGGGUCUCUGGGACGGUACUGACGCUGAGACGCGAAAGCGUGGGGAGCGAACAGG